ACUCAAAUCGGACACGGAAACUUUCUCCUGCAAUGUUUGAGUAUCAACUAUCAACGGUUUAUAGAGAGAGAAAGUAAGAAAACUACAAAAAUUAAAGUUAUUUUCUUCAUAUAUUCUCCACACACGCACAGUUUUUCCGUUCAUUCAUUCAUAUUCCAUUCCACUUCACACACUCAGAUAUAUACCUACAGUAUUUUGGCAUUUUAGGUCUUUACAGAGCAGAUCUGACCUUGCUUCAUGUUCUUAUUCAAUCUCUGAUCACAAAACGCCCAUUUCCGCUGAAAAACCCUAACCCAGAUUCAUCGAUCAUCACCAUGACUCAUCCUCCUCUCAAAGCCGUGACUCUGACACACGUUCGCUACCAAAAGGGUGAUCACUUUGGCCAUUUCUUGGCAUGGGUGUCGCUAGUCCCUGUCUUCAUCAGUCUUGGUGGGUUCGUCUCUCACUUCAUGUUUCGCCGAGAACUCCAAGGCAUGUUCUUCGCUCUUGGUCUAAUUUUUUCUCAAUUCGUCAAUGAAUUCAUCAAGACAUCAGUCCAACAAGCUCGUCCCGAAACGUGUGCCCUUCUUGAAAUGUGCGAUUCGCACGGGUGGCCUUCCAGCCACUCUCAGUACAUGUUCUUUUUCGCCAUGUACUUCACUCUUUUAACCUACAAAAAAAUUGGGAAUUUGAUUAGAAAACAGAUGUGGUUUGCGGGUCUUGUUGUUUGGCCUAUGGCACUGCUCACCAUGUACUCUAGGGUUUAUUUAGGGUACCACUCUGUUGCACAGGUAUUCGCUGGUGCUGUCCUGGGACUUGUUCUUGGGGCUCUAUGGUUUUGGGUGAUCAAUUCUGUGCUGAUACGUUACUUUCCAGUUAUUGAAGAUAGUUCAUUUGGGAGAUUGUUGUAUGUGAAAGAUACUUCACACAUACCCAACGUGUUGAAAUUUGAAUAUGAUAAUGCAAGAGCUGCUCGGAAACAUGUGUCUUACAAGCGAGCUGAAUGAUGAAGGACCAAUUGGUUUGCUUCUUGACAUGUUCAUUUUGGUGGAUUUGGUCGUUUAAUCUUCUGCUGGAUGGGAGGUGGCUUUAUGAUUCUUACUAGGUGUGUUGCUGCAAAUUCGUGAACGAGGAUGUUACUUUUGCCUGCACGAGAAGAUACAUUCAAAUAAAUGCUAUUCUUGUCUGAAUCACUAUGUUUAGUAAAAAUGUGGAUGUGGUUGGAAGGACUGGGACUAGAAUUCAGGCAGCUUUUUUUAUUUUUUUAAAAAAAAUCAUAUUAGUUUAGGAGAUACGACACUAUACUUUAAUAUUGAAGGAGCAGUUAGUGAUGGCCAAAAUCAUUAGAUGCUCAAUGUAGAAACUUCUAUAUUUUACUUUGCUUUUCUAUCACUUGGAUGUGUUUCUUAUGGCAUUUAAAAUUGUGUUUCUACAUUAA